rnacentral:siRNA from 1 species
UGGCCAAACGGAGGUGGUUA